rnacentral:rRNA from 1 species
AACGAACGCUGGCGGCGUGUUUAAGACAUGCAAGUCGCACGGUGUCAUUUUGGUAGCAAUACUUGGAUGGCACAGUGGCGCACGGGUGAGUAACACGUGAAUGACAUGCCCUUGAGAGGGGGAUAGCCCAGGGAAACUUGGAUUAAUACCCCAUGGUAUCGCGCGAUUAAAGGGUGGCCGCAAGGAUGCCGCUCAAGUAUUGGUUCCCGUUCUAUAAGCUGGUUGGCGGGGUAACGUCCCACCAAGGCUAUGGCGGAUACCUGGUCUGAGAGGACGCUCGGGCACACUGGAACUGAGAAAGGGUCCAGACACCUACGGGUGGCAGCAGUCGAGAAUAAUUCACAAUGGGGGCAACCCUGAUGGGGCAACGCCGCGUGGAGGAUGAAGGUCUUCGGAUUGUAAACUCCUGUCAUCCGGGAGCAAGACCUGACGGUUAACAGCCGGCAGGGUUGAUAGUACCGGAAGAGGAAGGGACGGCUAACUUCGUGCCAGCCGCCGCCGUAAAAC